rnacentral:lncRNA from 1 species
UGGGCUCGUCCUUUUUCGUGGGUUCCUCCUCUUUAGCAGGAGCCUUUUGUAGUUGCUUAUUGUUGCUUGCACUUGAACCAAAAACAAGCUUUCCAGCUUUCUGUCGACUGUAAUUGCUACCUACUGAAGCUGCCGGUGCCGAGAUUUGCUGAUUUGCUCUUUUGUUUGAACCUGAAGGUGCAGAAAUUGCAGUGUUAGGAACCUGAUCAGAUGCUUGCAGUUUUGAGGCCUUUCCAUCCAACCGCUUUCCAGAACCAGUAAAUGGUUUGAAUUUCGGUUCAUCCUCCACAGCAGUAGUGUUGCCAUCUCCAGCCGCAGGUGCCUUGUUGCUUGCAGGAAGAACUGUUGAUUGCCGUGGUUUCUCAGCAGGUUCUUUAUAAUCAAGAGGAGGUGCAAAGUCCACUUCACAGUCUGUCUCAAUAAUGCAAACUGCUGAAGCAGGCUUUGUUUCAACGAUAUCGAUGUAAUACUGUUUGCUGUUGUAGGAUACCAUGAUGGUGUCUCCCGUGGUUAAGCAGGAGAAAUUCCUC